GACGAACGCUGGCGGCGUGCUUAACACAUGCAAGUCGAACGAUGAAGCCUAGCUUGCUAGGUGGAUUAGUGGCGAACGGGUGAGUAAUACGUGUGUGACCUACCUUUGACUCUGGGAUAAGCCUGGGAAACUGGGUCUAAUACCGGAUACGACCAAUCUCCGCAUGGGGUGUUGGUGGAAAGCGUUAUGGAGUGGUUUUAGAUGGGCUCACGGCCUAUCAGCUUGUUGGUGAGGUAAUGGCUUACCAAGGCGACGACGGGUAGCCGGCCUGAGAGGGUGACCGGCCACACUGGGACUGAGACACGGCCCAGACUCCUACGGGAGGCAGCAGUGGGGAAUAUUGCACAAUGGGCGCAAGCCUGAUGCAGCGACGCCGCGUGAGGGAUGACGGCCUUCGGGUUGUAAACCUCUGUUAGCAUCGAAGAAGCGAAAGUGACGGUAGGUGCAGAGAAAGCGCCGGCUAACUACGUG
rnacentral:rRNA from 1 species